CUCAUGGCACAGAGCGCUGUGUGCCCGCACAUCAAAGACUGUGGGAACAGACGGCGUUCGGUGCAGCAGCUGCACUGGGAUCCUGUCCACACCCUUCCUGUUUGCCGCGGUCUACCUCGGGGCUAUUAUUUUCCCAACGGCCCUGCGACGAUAACCUUCCUACUGCCGUGGACACCGCUCCGCUGCCACCACCACCUCCCCGCUCCAUGCCUUUCCUCCCGACCGCACCACGUCUCUCCGGGGCUCAACGGCCCACUGUGAUGUGGCUGGCAUUGUUCUCUCAGGGCGCUACGGUCAUAGACAGAGGUCUGUGAGACCCCUGCCCUGACCACCUCCUGGGGAGGCCAUGUUUCCUGUGGGUGGCGGUGCGUGGCAGAUUGUCCCCGGUUACAGGCGGGAGGAGAGGCGUCAGAGUGUGCGGCGCAGACCUAGGUCUACCCCAUUGGGAAAGAGCAGUGACUAUCUGGGAGACGUCAUGGACACCUCUUCCUCUCCCUGCGUCUCUCUGUGGUGGUCAGUGUGAACAGCCUUAGAUUCUUCUGGGUGAUUCACAGGCCCGUUGAUGACAGGUAUUUUCCAGGCCUGGGCCUCUACAGCCACAGCUGCCCCUCCCAGUGUUUCCCGCGCUGAGUGUGUGAAGAGCCGCUGGACGUGUGGGUGAUCGGGGCCUGCGAGCACCCGGCCACCCCCACGCACCCCGAUAAGGGAGCUGACCCUUCUGUUGUCACAUUCUCCCAGAGAUUAG